rnacentral:rRNA from 1 species
UACAGAGGAGCCAAGCGUUGUCCGGAUUGACUGGGCGUAAAGCGUGCGCAGGCGGUUAUGUAAGACAGAUGUGAAAUGCCCGGGCUUAACCUGGGAACUGCAUUUGUGACUGCAUGGCUAGAGUUUGGCAGAGGGGGGUAGAAUUCCACGUGUAGCAGUGAAAUGCGUAGAUAUGUGGAGGAACACCGAUGGCGAAGGCAGCCCCCUGGGUCAAGACUGACGCUCAUGCACGAAAGCGUGGGGAGCAAACAGG